rnacentral:lncRNA from 1 species
AGAGUUUUGUAAAGGACCAGUCACAGAGGCUGAGCAAAGCAGAGAUAAGAGGUAUCAUGUAUGAGAGAGAAUAAAAGGAGAAUAAGGCUAGCAAAACUCUACAUGCAACAGAGCGGAGAAGGGUUUAGAAAAAAUCCUUUGUGCUUGUUAAGAUUUUUGUAAAUCCCAGUCUGCUUGAACAUAGACUCGUCCUUCAGAGAGCAAAAGGGCUGGUGGAGGAAGAAGUGGUUAGAAAAUUACCGUCUUAUAUUAACUCCCCGGAUAGAAAGAAAUUUACUUGUAAAGCUUUCAACAUCCUCAAAGGCAUCUAAUUGUUCAGGACAUACUGAGUAUCUGCACUUACAGAAAUCAAGCCUCAAGUGGAACUCCCCUGAAAGCAAGGCACCAGGAAGCCAAGAUUAGUUUUCAGAAAGUAAGUGGUUUUCAUUUUUUGGUUUCUCAAGGACUCUUUCAAGGGCCAAGCAGAUGGCUGGGAGAUCCACAGAAUGGAAACCUGCAGUUCUAAUGGGGACAGAAAAGUGUGUGUAGAGGGGGUUGUUUGUUUGCAGUUUUUUUAGUUAAAUCAUCUCUGUGUUUGAUAGCUAUUUACGCUCUUUUGCAGCUAAAAUGGUAGUGCAUUUUUGUGGACUCUUCCUUUUCAACAAAGGACUGAGGAAAUUGCCACACUAAUUCUCUGAGCUUCCUAGCAGCUCUCAAGCAUAACCAGAAGAGCAAUUCCCAACUUUAAAAUACAAAGGGAAGCAAAAGAAUAAAAGCACGCAGAGAUCAGUUCAGAAAGGCCCUUGAAAACUUGAGGCAGUUACGGCUAUGUUCCCAUAGCAUUUUGAGUGGAUGCUUGGGCCUGUACUCAAGACCACACCAGCCUUAGCUGCCCUAUGGGUCUUUCAUGAGCUCUUAGGAUCGUGUUAAACUUUUGUGCAGCCGGAAGUGUCAGUCAGCCUGCUGUGCAACUGGAUAGACUGCACCUAGGCCUUGGCAGUUUUGACGUGCAUUGGAGGGGCUCUGUACUUCUGCUACUACAAGACAUGAUGACCGCAGGCAGGCAGAGCACGUGGGGCAGCAGCCUGAGCCUAGUGCA